rnacentral:rRNA from 1 species
AUCUAUGGCUAUACCACCGCGAUCGUGCCCAAUCUCGUCUGAUCUCGGAAGCAUAGUGCUUGGCAUGCAGAAGGUACUAUUUCGAUAUUUGUCCUUCAAAUACCUAAUACAAGAGACGUGAGGACCUCAGAUC